UAGUCCACGCCGUAAACGAUGUGUGCUAGAUGUCGGGCCCUCAGGGUUCGGUGUCGCAGCUAACGCACUAAGCACACCGCCUGGGGAGUACGGUCGCAAGAUUAAAACUCAAAGGAAUUGACGGGGACCCGCACAAGCGGUGGAGCAUGUUGUUUAAUUCGAAGCAACGCGAAGAACCUUACCUACACUUGACAUACUCGUCGGGGAUUUGAGAGAUCAUUUCCUUCGGUUCGGCCGGACGAUGUACAGGUGCUGCACGGCUGUCGUCAGCUCGUGUCGUGAGAUGUUUGGUUAAGUCCAGCAACGAGCGCAACCCCUAUCGUAUGUUGCCAGCAUUCAGUUGGGCACUCAUGCGAGACUGCCGGUGUUAAGCCGGAGGAAGGUGAGGACGACGUCAAGUCAUCAUGGCCCUUACGUGUAGGGCUACAAACGUGCUACAAUGGCUACUACAGUGGGCAGCGAGGUCGCGAGGCCAAGCUAAUCCCCAAAAGUAGUCUC
rnacentral:rRNA from 1 species